UCCAGACUCCUACGGGAGGCAGCAGUGGGGGAUAUUGCACAAUGGGGGGAACCCUGAUGCAGCGACGCCGCGUGGGUGAAGGAGCGUUUCGGCGCGUAAAGCCCUAUCGGCAGGGAAGAAGGAGGACGGUACCUGACUAAGAAGCCCCGGCUAACUACGUGCCAGCAGCCGCGGUAAUACGUAGGGGGCAAGCGUUAUCCGGAUUUACUGGGUGUAAAGGGGGCGCAGACGGCGAUGCAAGCCAGGAGUGAAAGCCCGGGGCCCAACCCCGGGACUGCUCUUGGAAACUGCCGGGCUGGAGUGCAGGAGGGGCAGGCGGAAUUCCUAGUGUAGCGGUGAAAUGCGUAGAUAUUAGGAGGAACACCAGUGGCGAAGGCGGCCUGCUGGACUGCAACUGACGUUGAGGCUCGAAGGCGUGGGGAGCAAACAGGAUUAGAUACCCUAGUAA
rnacentral:rRNA from 1 species